AGAACCCUCAAGUUUUGUGUGUUUAAUCUGAUCAAGUUGCUCAGUGAUCUCAGGGGUUAGAGAAUUCUUCCAAUCGCCAAUGAUACCCUUGCCUGAAGAAGGCACUAUGUGGCUGGCAUCUCAACCCAAGGAUCCUCACCAUUUUUGUUCACCUCGAAGUUUUUCAGCCUCUGGAGUCUGGAAAUCACACCUCAUAAGCACCUUUCUCCAUGAAGGGUUGGGAAUGGGCAGAGUAUUCCAGUGUGAAGUGAUAGAUGGGUUCCUUAACCGCAGCAGUUUAAGCGUAUUCGAGCUGUCCCGCUGGGCUCUAUUUCGAAGGAUAAUACGUUGGCCUGGCACUGAGCCUUCCACCAAAGGUUAUUAAUUUUAUUUGGCGGGCUUGUUUAGAUGUGCUUCCCACUCGGGUGAUGUUGAGCAGAUGGAUUUCCUCUUUAGCACGAACUUAUUUAUUCUGCACAGGUGAACAAACUUUUCUGCAUUUGCUUAGGGACUGUAAUUCUUUGAACUCUGUUUGGUCUCUUAUGGGACUUCCUCAGGUUGGUCAGGUCAAGACAUCUCUUUUGAAUUGUGGUUUUAUGAAGUGAUGCAACUCUUGUCAAGGGAUGAUCUUUGUUGCUUUGUUGUGACCUAUUAUAAUAUUUGGUAUGUCCGAAAUAAGUGUUUGCACGAGAUUGUGAGUUUGGAUUGUUCAAGCACUGUUUCCUGUUCCGAGUAUAUGCAGCAAGAGUAUUAUGAGUUUUUUUGGCUUUCCAAGAGUUGAUAAUAAUGUUGUUCAUGGGAUUAGUGUGAAGAAAUGGAUCCCUCCUGCUGGUUUAAUGAUUAAACUAAAUGUUGAUGCUAGAGUUAGGGGGUAAUGGGUUCAUCAAUUGUGGUGCUGUCUUCCGUGAUGUUCAGGGUGUAGUCCUAGCUUAGACUUCUAAAACUGUUGUGGGAAGUUGGGAUGUAAGUGUUGCGGAGGCUCUAGCAAUGUUUAUGAGUUGAAGUUGGCUGUGUAUUUACAUUUCUUGUGGCAGAAUUUGAUUAUAAAUUUCUCACUGAUAAAUUGAAGGCUGGGGUUCAUUUGUAUGAUAGUCUUGGGAUAGCUUUGGCCAUUUAUUUCUUCUGUCAGCAACAAUUUCAGUAUUGUGAGUGGUCUUUUGUGCCGAGAUCUGAUAAUACAAUGGCCCAUGAAAUGACAACGGUGUAUGGCGAUGAAGUGGGCGAGCUAGUUUGGGUGGAAAAAGUUCACGUCGCUGCUAAAAUUUUGUUGAUUCUGAUGCUUUGUUUUCGUAUUGUGUAAUGCUUUUGGCAUUUAUUUAAAAAAACAUUUAAU
rnacentral:misc_RNA from 1 species